rnacentral:pre_miRNA from 13 species
AUUCACUAACAUGUAGACUCUAACUUGACAUAGUGGUAUAUGUCAAGUUAGAGUCUACAGGUUAGUGAAUG